CUGUUCGAGCGUCACUUCAACCCUCAAGCUCUGCUUGGUAUUGGGCCGCACCAGCAUGGUAGGCUUAAAAUCAGUGGCGGCGCCGCUGGGCCCUGAGCGUAGUAAUACUUCUCGCUACUGGGUCCCGGUGGAUGCUUGCCAUCAACCCCCAAUUUUCUAUGGUUGACCUCGGAUCAGGUAGGGAUACCCGCUGAACUUAA
rnacentral:misc_RNA from 1 species